rnacentral:rRNA from 1 species
AUGGAGCAGGCGGAGGACCACGGCGACUUGGCGGCGCUCCUGCCGGAGGACGUGCUCGCCGACGUGCUCCGUCGCGUGGCGGAGCCGCGCUGGCUCGCCCUGUCGCGCUGUGUCUGCAAAGCGUGGCGAGCCAUCAUCGACGGCGGGAGCCUCCUGCGCACGGAGCUCCCGUUUAGCGGGUUCUUCAUCACCUUCGCAGAGCUCUGUUUGCCCGAGUUCUUCGCCCGCCCCUUGUCGCCCCUGGGUCGACCAGCGAUCAGCGGCAAGCUCGAUUUCCUACCUACACCCAUUAAAGUUUGCUCCGAUGGGAGGAGCUUGGACGGCGACUACCACAUCCAGGAUCACUGCAACGGACUCCUCUUGCUCGACGGCUACGUGGUUAACCCUGCCACCCGAUGCUGGAACGCUCUGCCCUUGUGCCCGCACAAUCAUACUGGGGAUGGGGGAAUCGUCCAUGGUAUUUUAAAUCAUGAUUAUUAUCUGGCCUUUGAUCCCAAGGUGUCAUACCACUACCAGGUGUUUGAGAUCCCUUAUUUGCGUUGGGGUAAAGAUGGGAUUGACCCUUUAGAUGAGACAUCCGAAUGGCCUCCAUCUCCAUAUAUCCUGCAUGUAUUCUCUUCAAGGAGAGGCUGUUGGGAGGAGAGGUUGUUUGUUCGACAAGGGGAUGCCGCAGGAACACUUGCAAAGGCGCGUGUGUAUGAGAGCCGACUCCACUCUGUCUAUUGGCGUGGAUACCUUUACGUGCAUUGUCAAGGUGAUUUUAUUAUGAGAAUAUCUUUGUCUCAAGAUAAGUACAGUGCGAUUAAGGCACCAAUGGGUGUUGGAGAUACCAAUUACAUAGGAUUAUCGGAGAAAGGAGUAUACUUUGCGUCAUUUGUUAAGAAUCACAUUCGGGUUUGCAUCCUGAAUGAAUCAUCUAAUCAGUUAGAGUGGAUAUUAAAGCAUGACUACGACCUUAAGCCCAUCCAAAUGUUUGAUCGCCAAGUUCAUGGACCCUGGAUCUUACAAGACAUUAACUAUGUAGUCUUUCGUUCUCAUCUUCCAAAUAUCAACAAGGAAGAAGUAAUCCACGAGAAAUUUGAAUGGAACUCCGACGAUGAUGAUUUCCCUAAGAAUGAAGACAUGGUUGAAGUGCACCGUCGCCAUCCAUAUUUUGAGAUCGAGAUACUUGGAUUUCACCCAUACAAAGAGAUUCUCUUUUUGAGUAGGUCAGAGACCUUCAAACUAAAAGCAAUGGCGUUCGCCUAUCAUUUGAAUAGCUUCAAGACUGAAAGUUUAGGAAGCAUAUACCCAAGUUGUCACAGAUAUUUCGACUCUGGCCUUGCUAAUGAAGCUCGGGAGAUCGAAUCUUUUCCAUACACACCAUGUUGUUGGAUCGAAGAGAUCCCAGAGAGAGUAAAUUAA